GUAAGCCCAUAAUGUGAUUAUAAUUUAUUGUGAAUAGGCCCCAGGUUAUAUAUUAUGUGUUAAUCGAGAUUGGGCCAUAUGUUUGUAUAGAGGCUUACUGUUUUGAUGAAAUUGAGACAGAUUGAAUAAUUUAGGCUUACUACGGGCCUCGGGGGCCUUAAGCUUACCUGGGCCCUAGUGCCGGUCCGGCCCACGGAAACGGGUCGUGACAAAGGUGGUAUCAGAGCGUAAGUUUAUAAGUUUAGAUGUAACUGCGGAGUAAUUCCUGUCAUGUCUUGACAUUGUCCUCCUUGCUUUUCCCUUCAGCGUUGUUCGCAACCAGACUAAAGUCAAGUUGUUUAAUGAUUAAAAUUUGCAUCCUUGUUCGUUAGAGAUGUGAUUUAGUUAAUGAUGCUAGGAGACGGUUUAAACAAAAAUCCUUCUAUGGAAUAAAUAAUAGUCAUAUAUAAUUUAAGUAUGUAAGAAGAUAAGUUGCAUAUGAAUAAUAAAUUGAAGUCAAAUACUGUAAGUGUACUAUUUUAUUUAAUAUGUGUUGAAUGUAGAAUACAUAUAAAAAAAAAAAAAGAUGCAUGAGUGCGUGUAUAUGUGUGCCUGCAGAAUUGAGAAUUAGUUGCUAGUUUUAUUUAAUAAGAGAACUAAACGAUUCGGAUUUGAGGACAUUAGAAUAUAUUUAAUUGGUGCCUUGAAUUAAUAUAUGUAUUUGGUGACAUUUACAUGAUGUUGGUUGGUGGAAUUUAUUAUAGUUAUUGGGGUAAAUAUUUUCUGGAUGGAAUAAUUACAUUAAUUAGUAUAAGUACAUAACUGAUUUUUUAUAAGAUUUAAAUAUUGAAGGAUUUGGUGUGAUUUGCUAUAAUAAUUGGAGAUGAGUAUUUUUCAUAAAGAAUAAUAUUGGUGGAAUUAUUAUACCAAGUGAUUUUUAAUUAUGAGAAGUAAUUACUGCUUGGUGGAGUAAAGUGUAUUGUAGCAUUCAUCAACUAUUCCUUUUCAAGUGUAUGAAUAUAGGGAAUCAUAUAAAUUAUUGUGGUUAUAAGAAACGUAAAUUGUGAUCCGUAGUAAGAGACAAAUUACUCUACUCUGUAUGCAUUUAGUAAUGGAUAUUGUGUGGAUUGUGGCAUCUUAUGGUUUAAUAUGGUACAAGUAAGAAUUAAAUCUAAUGGUAUUUAGCUUUUGAUAUUUAAAAUAAUUGUUGCACACUCGAUGGUAUGUGAAUUACAAUCAAUGAUUUUGUUUAAUGGGAGAUUCUAUGAUCUGAGGACUCCAUAAGGGAAUUAAGGUACUUACGUUAUGUAAAUAUUGGGCUAUGAUGAUUAAGAGCAUUGGUGAAUGACAUCGGAUAUGGAGAGAUAAUUGUCCAAUUAUUUAAUUGAUAUAAUACUAGUAAAUUAGAUAAGUAAGGAUGGAUCUAGUCCUGUUAUUGUAUGGAUAUUAAGAAAAGAAUCAAUUGUAGAAACGUGAAGAGUAUGAAUUAAUGUGAGUUAAAUGAGGAUAGUCAGUAAUUAGAGGUUUAAUAAAUUAGGGAUUAUGGGUAACAAGAUUCGAUGAAAAUAAAAAUAAUGAUACAUCAGCGGAUUUAAGAUAAAGACCUCUAUAUUUUGGGAUUUCAUGAGUGUAGAAAAAUUGUGGUUUACAGUCAUGAAAGAGUUAUGGAUCCAUGUGUGAUAUAAUUAAGAUCUUAGUACAUGUAGAAUGUUUAAUAAGCCAGACUAAGCUUAUGGACCAAGUAUAAUAAAAUAAAAGUAAAAGAUAGCAAAGGAAAUUAGUGGUUUUGGGAUUGAAAUGCUAUUAUAUUCGAUGAUAAUUAUAUUAGGAAAAUUAUAGCUUGAAUAUAAUUUGAAUAUAAAGAACAGAGGAGAAUAAUGUUUGUAUAAUUAAACAGUUUCUUGUUAUCUCUUGGAGUAUAGAGAGAAUGUGAAUGUUAAGAAAUUAAAUGAUCAUGAAUAGUAAUUUUAUGAUGUAAUUAAAUUAAGAUCUAAAAAANN
rnacentral:lncRNA from 1 species